rnacentral:rRNA from 1 species
AGAGUUUGAUCAUGGCUCAGGACGAACGCUGGCGGCGUGCUUAACACAUGCAAGUCGAACGAGAGGACAAGAGGAGCUUGCUUCUUUUGGAAUCGAGUGGCAAACGGGUGAGUAACACGUAAACAACCUGCCUUCAGGAUGGGGACAACAGACGGAAACGACUGCUAAUACCGAAUACGCUUGGGAGACCGCAUGAUCUUCCAAGGAAAGGGUGGCCUCUACCUGUAAGCUAUCGCCUGAAGAGGGGUUUGCGUCUGAUUAGGCAGUUGGUGAGGUAACGGCCCACCAAACCUACGAUCAGUAGCCGGUCUGAGAGGAUGAACGGCCACACUGGAACUGAGACACGGUCCAGACUCCUACGGGAGGCAGCAGUGGGGAAUCUUCCGCAAUGGGCGAAAGCCUGACGGAGCAACGCCGCGUGAGUGAUGACGGCCUUCGGGUUGUAAAGCUCUGUGAUCGGGGACGAACGGUCCGUAAGCCAAUACCUUAUGGAAGUGACGGUACCCGAAUAGCAAGCCACGGCUAACUACGUGCCAGCAGCCGCGGUAAUACGUAGGUGGCAAGCGUUGUCCGGAAUUAUUGGGCGUAAAGCGCGCGUAGGCGGCUUUCUAAGUCCAUCUUAAAAGUGCGGGGCUUAACCCCGUGAUGGGAUGGAAACUGGAAAGCUGGAGUAUCGGAGAGGAAAGUGGAAUUCCUAGUGUAGCGGUGAAAUGCGUAGAGAUUAGGAAGAACACCGGUGGCGAAGGCGACUUUCUGGACGACAACUGACGCUGAGGCGCGAAAGCGUGGGGAGCAAACAGGAUUAGAUACCCUGGUAGUCCACGCUGUAAACGAUGAAUACUAGGUGUGGGAGGACUGACCCCCUCCGUGCCGCAGUUAACACAAUAAGUAUUCCACCUGGGGAGUACGAUCGCAAGAUUGAAACUCAAAGGAAUUGACGGGGGCCCGCACAAGCAGUGGAUUAUGUGGUUUAAUUCGACGCAACGCGAAGAACCUUACCGGGAUUUGACAUCCCACUAACGAAGUAGAGAUACAUUAGGUGCCCUUCGGGGAAAGUAGAGACAGGUGGUGCAUGGUUGUCGUCAGCUCGUGUCGUGAGAUGUUGGGUUAAGUCCCGCAACGAGCGCAACCCCUAUUGCUAGUUGCUACGCAAGAGCACUCUAGCGAGACUGCCGUUGACAAAACGGAGGAAGGCGGGGACGACGUCAAAUCAUCAUGCCCCUUAUGUCCCGGGCUACACACGUAAUACAAUGGCGGUCAACAGAGGGAAGCAAAGCCGCGAGGCAGAGCAAACCCCUAAAAGCCGUCUCAGUUCGGAUUGCAGGCUGCAACUCGCCUGCAUGAAGUUGGAAUUGCUAGUAAUCGUGGAUCAGCAUGCCACGGUGAAUACGUUCCCGGGCCUUGUACACACCGCCCGUCACACCAUGAGAGCUGGGAACACCCGAAGUCCGUAGUCUAACCGCAAGGAGGGCGCGGCCGAAGGUGGGCCUGAUAAUUGGGGUGAAGUCGUAACAAGGUA